UUGGUGUCCGGCCUAACCCCCUCUGGACCGGGGGGGUCGUCCCGGUCUACAUAAGCAACUGCUAUUAUGCCAAACUGGGCGGAAAACAAUCACCCUGCUGGGAAACACUCACCGGCAGCACCCUCCCAAGAUGACCGCCGCACGCCAGCCACAUGUGUGAACUACCCACAGGAUGGAACUUGCACACAAAGGAAACCAUCC